UGUAGGAAACCAUAUUUGAAACAAAGUUGGAAACUAAAUGUACAUAUGUAGGAUGUUCAACAAAAAGAAGCACUUCUCCAUGUGUUCUGAAGUCUAAGACUUGUCCAAAAGGAUGGAAACGGAGAGGAAGAAGCUGUUAUAAUCUAUUUCUGGAAAAAGUGAACUGGUUUCAGGCUCAGAUAAAUUGCCGGAAAUACGAUGCAAAUCUUGUUCAAAUUGAAGAUAAACGUGAAGGCAAAUGGUUAAAAAGACAAUAUCCGGGGAAUAAGG